AUGACUCCAUAUGAUGAACUGGUCGAGGAGAUCAAGGCCAGCUUGGGCAAUGCCGCCACUCCUGCUCAGAUCAAGGCUGUGCUGUCCUCCUCAACCCUCCCCGCCAAGGACGCGAUGCACGCCCUCUUUGAGGCGCUCUUCCACGGUGCGGGCAAGGGGUUUGCAAAGGAUGUCAAGAAGAACAAUGACUACCUUGCUGCUGCCGUGCCUGAUGAAGGGGCCCAGAUGCUGCUGCUCGAGGCCAUCGAGGCGUUCUGCGGCAAGUGCAGCGCCGAGGCCCUGAAGGAGGUGCCGGUGGUCCUGAAAUGCCUGUAUGACGGCGACGUCCUCGAGGAAGAAGCCAUUGUCCAGUGGUACGUUGAAGCUGUUGCUGCCGGCAAGGACUCCCAGGUUGUGAAGAAUGCCAGGCCGUUUGUGGUCUGGCUCCAGGUCGCCGAAGCGGACGAGGAGUGA
rnacentral:rRNA from 1 species